rnacentral:rRNA from 1 species
GUGCAGCAGUCGAGAAUACUUUACAAUGCGGGAAACCGUGAUAAGGGAACCUCGAGUGCUGAUGCCCAGCAUUGGCUGUCCGCAUGCCUAAAAAGCAUGUGUUAGCAAGGGCCGGGCAAGACCGGUGCCAGCCGCCGCGGUAACACCGGCGGCUCGAGUGGUAGCCACUUUUAUUGGGUCUAAAGCGUCCGUAGCCGGCUUGGUAAGUCUUCUGGGAAAUCUGGCGGCUCAACCGUCAGGCGUCCAGGAGAUACUGUCAGGCUCGGGACCGGGAGAGGU